rnacentral:rRNA from 1 species
AGGACUAACGCUGGCGGCGUGCCUAACACAUGCAAGUCGAACGAGGGUAGCAAUACCCUAGUGGCAGACGGGUGAGUAACACGUAGUCAACCUACCUCUUAAUGGGGGAUAACUAGCCGAAAGGUUAGCUAAUACCGCAUACGAUCGUCGAGUGGCAUCACACGACGAUGAAAGGAGCAAUCCGUUGAGAGAGGGGACUGCGUCCCAUUAGUUAGUUGGUGGGGUAACGGCCUACCAAGACUCCGAUGGGUAGCUGGCUUGAGAGAGCGACCAGCCACACUGGAACUGAGACACGGUCCAGACUCCUACGGGAGGCAGCAGUGAGGAAUUUUUCCGCAAUGGGGGAAACCCUGACGGAGCGACGCCGCGUGUGGGAAGAAGGCCUUCGGGUCGUAAACCACUGUCGAGGGGGACGAUAUUGACGGUACCCCUGGAGGAAGCCCCGGCUAACUACGCGCCAGCAGCCGC